GCUCGUGACCAAACUGCCCAGAAUGUGCCCGAGCUUCACCAGAUCUUGGAAGCAAAGAGAGGAUCGAGUCUGGCAAGUACUUGGAUGGGAGACCACGGCCAGAAUUUUCCAGGAAUUGUAGGCG
rnacentral:rRNA from 1 species